GACACUCCAGAAGCAAGCCUAGAAUGCAU
rnacentral:piRNA from 1 species